rnacentral:rRNA from 1 species
GACAGAGGGUGCGAGCGUUGUCCGGAAUUAUUGGGCGUAAAGGGCUCGUAGGCGGUUUGUCGCGUCGGGAGUGAAAUCCACUGGCUUAACUGGUGGCUUGCUUUCGAUACGGGCAGACUGGAGGUAUGCAGGGGAGAACGGAAUUCCUGGUGUAGCGGUGAAAUGCGCAGAUAUCAGGAGGAACACCGGUGGCGAAGGCGGUUCUCUGGGCAUGUCCUGACGCUGAGGAGCGAAAGUGUGGGGAGCGAACAGG